CCUACGGUGGGCAGCAGUGGGGAAUAUUGCGCAAUGGGCGAAAGCCUGACGCAGCGACGCCGCGUGAGGGAUGAAGGUCUUCGGAUCGUAAACCUCUGUCAGCAGGGAAGAACGGUCACUGUGCUAAUCAGCAGUGAAUUGACGGUACCUGCAAAGGAAGCACCGGCUAACUCCGUGCCAGCAGCCGCGGUAAUACGGAGGAUCCAAGCGUUAUCCGGAUUUAUUGGGUUUAAAGGGUGCGUAGGCGGAUUGAUAAGUUAGAGGUGAAAUGUCCGAGCUUAACUCGGGAACUGCCUCUAAUACUGUUGAUCUAGAGAGUAGAUGCGGUAGGCGGAAUGUAUGGUGUAGCGGUGAAAUGCUUAGAGAUCAUACAGAACACCAGUGGCGAAGGCGGAUGACUGGACGGCAACUGACGGUGAGGCGCGAAAGCGUGGGGAGCAAACAGGAUUAGAUACCCCGGUAGUC
rnacentral:rRNA from 1 species